CAGUAGCCGCGGGAAUACGAAGGGGGCUAGCGUUGUUCGGAUUUACUGGGCGUAAAGCGCACGUAGGCGGAUCGAUCAGUCAGGGGUGAAAUCCCAGAGCUCAACCUGGGAAUGGCAGUGGAUACUGGCUCGCUAGAGUGUGUCAGAGGAUGGUGGAAUUCCCGGUGUAGCGGUGAAAUGCGUAGAGAUCGGGAGGAACAUCAGUGGCGAAGGCAGCCAUCUGGGACAACACUGACGCUGAGGCACGAAAGCGUGGGGAGCAAACAGGAUUAGAUACCCCAGUAGUCCCUGUCUCUUAUAC
rnacentral:rRNA from 1 species